UUCGAGUUGUACAUAUUGAGCUAGGGGCACCUCAAGCCGACUGAAAAGUUUGUCUGAAUUUAGGAAUGUCUGCGGCUUUAAGGAUGGCACACCUCAGCAUCCAACCGAAACGACCUUUAUUGUGCAGGAAGCAUUAGGAAGAGGUUCGAGUGCUUUGUUUGUAGGUGUGCAAACGCCUUCGUAAUACAACGUAUGAGCGAGUCGACAUUGUCGUCUCAAGGUUGGAUACUGACCCAUCUAUAGUAAUUCAAUGGGCUCCAAGGGGACGCUACACUGAUUGGCUUCUAUCAAUCGGUGCACCAUCGUGCUGGAAAAUGCAUAGUCUCCAUCUAAACAUUAAAGUAAUCUGCGCCUGCGCAAAGGAUGGCUUGUUGUAAGAGGCGUGUCACUAGCGAAGUUUUGGCUGCUUUUAUAAGCGAUGAAAAAAUUUAGGCUUGCCAUAGAUUUAGCAUAUGGGAGACCAGUAAGCUUGCCCUGCCAGCAAGAGAAGGAAUGCCUUUCUGAGCUAUUCGACCGUACCAUAGGAGGCUACAUGUCUAACUGCGAUGGGAAUUAAAAGCGCAGGAGACUAUGUGUAACCCUUUCACUAUGAUCGAGUACAACGAUGUACUACGAAGAGCAAGGCGGAUUCGUGAAUCCGGAAAUUCAUUAGCUCUCGGGGGUACGAAAAGGCCGAAUACUAAGAGUGUCAGUCACUGGUUGACUGUAAAAUAGGCACGAGAGGAGUUAAACCUUUUUAGCGAUCGUUUGAUAACAACAGCACUACGGGCUAUAUACUGUCAUUCAGAAGCGUCAAGAUUCUGUUAUACUGCUAUAGAGCAUAUUCGUUAGACGAAUCCUUCUUCUCUGUCUUUCGUUUCUUCAAUUCCUGGAUUCCCAUCAAAACCCUUUGGCUGUUUGGCUCCAAACAAAUGUGAUCCUGUGAACAUAGCUUGAAUGCAACACAGCUAGCCC